rnacentral:rRNA from 1 species
CUUCUUCGGAGAGUUUGAUCCUGGCUCAGGAUGAACGCUGGCGGCGUGCCUAAUACAUGCAAGUCGAGCGA